CCAAUAGCGUAUAUUAAAGUUGUUGCAGUUAAAAAGCUCGUAGUUGAAUUUUAGGCCUGACCGGACGGUCCGUCUCUGGCGAGUACUGUUCUGUUGUCGGGUCUAUCCUUCGGGUGAGCCGGUAUGCCCUUUAUUGGGUGUGUCGGGGAACCAGGACCAUUCCCUGGAAAAAAUUAGAGUGUUUAAAGCGGGCUUUUGCUUGAAUAGUUUAGCAUGGAAUAAUAGAAUAGGACGUUGGUUCUAUUUUGUUGGUCUAGGACCACCGUAAUGAUUAAUAGGGAUAGUUGGGGGCAUUAGUAUUCAAUUGUCAGAGGUGAAAUUCUUGGAUUUAUUGAAGACUAACUACUGCGAAAGCAUUUGCCAAGGAUGUUUUCAUUAAUCAAGAACGAAAGUUAGGGGAUCGAAGACGAUCAGAUACCGUCGUAGUCUUAACCAUAAACUAUGCCGACUAGGAAUCGGGCGACGUUAUUUUCAUGACUCGCUCGGCGCCUUAUG
rnacentral:rRNA from 1 species